GUUUGGAGUGAAGUGCUAGCUGAGAUUAUUUCUCUCCCACUCUCCUUUCCUUCUCUCUCACAUCUACUCCUCUCUUUACCCUUCUUCGGCUUCUACUCACCAUUGGAGCACUCUCACAGCAGCAAACACCUGACAACAUGAGGAGUUCGAUUUCUCCUUGAAUUUUGAUGAUGUUUCGAAGCUUAGGAUUGUAGGAGAGAUGCAUGCACAGCUAGUUCUUGAAGUUAAGAGUUUUUGGAAGUCUCCAUUUCAUCAAAUCUUCUGGCAUUUUUGGAUUUAUUAAAGUUUUGGUAAAAGCUGCCAGUUUUUGAGAGCAAGUUGAGAUUUUGAUGGAUUUUCUCUAGAUUCUCUUGAAGCUAAGCUUUUUUUUGGUCGAGGAGAAUCUAAACUCAUCUAGAGCAAGUGGGAGCUUCGUUUGAGCUGAAUCAAAGGGCUUAGGAACACAGUUUGGAGUAUUGUGGUCUUCCUCAUUUCCUUGGUUCCCUCAUGGACUUUCUAGAAUAGCCGUAAGAGCCGCCGAAACUGAGCUACAGCGGUAGUAGUAGCAGCAACCUAGUACAGGGACAACAAUGAAGAAUUUUCGAAAUUUCUUUUGAUUGGGACUUUGUUGCUGCCAUUUGAAGGUUCCUGAGUGUUCCUAAGGUUGAGAGGAACCUAGGAUUUAAGUUUGAGCCGCCGAUUUGAGAUGAGCAUUGUUGAAUUUCAGUUUUUCUAAUUGAAUCGCCAUUUUGUUGGAAUUUAGCUUGAUUUUUUAUUUGGCUCAAUGUGACAGGGAUCCUUGAGAUUUUAUUAUUUUGUUUGGUGAUUUGGGAUCUGAGACAUGUGCCUGCUGAGUUUCAUCCCGAUCUGUUGUUGGAUUUGCGCUCUAGGUCGCUCCCCUCGAGUACCACUUUGGAGUUAAGUGGCUUGAUUACUUUUGGGUAUGUUCCACGUCGGCGAUCCACAAGUUGUUAGUGAGAUCAGAUGUGAUGCUAGUGCAGGCGGGAUUGGGCUUUCGAACCAGUCGGUUGAUUGGGUUAUUCUCCACGGAUUAUUAGAAUGGAUGCAUAUCAUUCCAUUUAUACUUGCUCAUUCCAUACUAGUGUAGAGGCAUAGCAGUGGUAGUUUUCCUUUCAGCGGUUAUAGGUGUUCUUUACCACUUUACCCUUUAUGCCUCUGGUAGACCUAGUGGGUGGGUUGUAGUUGUCGAUGUCGUACCCAUUGAGGACUACUGGUUCUUAGUAGUUCUCACACCCUCUGCUGACCCCUUUUGCAGAGACCUUUGCAGCGGUAGUGACCACUGUAAACUGAGAUAAGGGGAUCACUGACUAGAUACUCUCCUUCAUAUUUUGUGGGCCAGUUGUGGGCCCGAAUAUUAUUUUUUGUUAGACUACUAUACAUUUUGGGUUUGGCUUUUGCCAGGUGAUUGUAUUUAUUUUUAUACCUAGAUGAUCGAUCUUGUAUUCGGAUGAUGUUUUUGUACACUUCAGUCUUUAGCUAGUUUUAUACUUUAGCUCUGUUUUGCUCUUCCGAAUGGCUUUAUUAUUAUUUU